GGGAUUUGCUAAAAGAAAACGCGAGAUUUUCGGGUGAAAUGGAAGAUUCCUGAAAAGAAAAUGCGUGUUUUUUGCUUAAACGGCGGAUUUGUGAAGAGAAAAUGCGUGUUUUUGCUAAAAUGGGGGAUUUGCGAAGAGAAAACGCUUGAUUUUCGGGUUAAAUGGGGGGUUAUUGAAGAGAAAAGACGUGUUUUCAACGUAAAUGGGGGAUUUGCGAAGAGAAAACACAUCAUUUUCAGGUUAAAUGGGGGAUUCUCGAAGAGAAAACGUGUGGUUUUGGGUUAAAUGUUGGAUUCUCGAAGAGAAAACGCAUGGUUUUCGGGUUAAAUGGGGGAUUUGCGAAGAGAAAACGCGUGAUUUUCGCUUAAAAUGGGGAUUCGCGAAAAGAAAACGCGUGAUUUUCGCUUAAAUGGGGGACUUGAAAGAGAAAACGUGUCAUUUACACGUUAAAUGGAGGAUUAUCGAAGAGAAAACGUGAUUUUCGCAUAAAUGUGUGAUUUGCGAAGAGAAAACUCGUGAUUUUCGCUUAAAUGGGGGAUUCGCGAAAAGAAAACGCGUGAUUUUCGCUUAAAUGGGGUAUUUGAGAAGAGAAAAUUCGUGAUCUUCACUUAAAUGGGGGAUUUGCGAAGAGAAAACGCGUGAUUUUCACUUAAAUUGACGAUUCUCAAAGAGAAAACGCGAGAUUUUCACUUAAUUGGAGGACUUGCGAAGGGAAAACGUGUGAUUUUCGCUUAAAUGUGGGAUUUCAGAAGAGAAAACGCGUGUUUUUUUGUGUUAAAUGGGGGAUUUGCAAAGAGAAAAUGCGUGAUUUUCGCUUAAAUGGGGGAUUU
ensembl:lncRNA